CUACCUUACGGGUGUAGAUAAAAAAUAUUCCUUUGUUUUUAUACUUUCUUUUUUUUAAUUAUCAAGUGUGAUAAUGGCGGAUCGGAAGUUCAAAACUAAAAUGAAAUUAAUAUUUGUACUGUCAACUAUCACUGGUGUUUUACCCUACCGUCGGCCAUCUUGUCACGCAUGCUUCGAUGGAAUCUGCCACACUCGGUCCAAUGUCUUCACCGCUCAUAAAUUCUCCGGACAACUGGCUGUUGAUAAAACCGCUAAUAUUCUCUAUUUUCAUUACCAAACAAAUCAUUCAAUAGACCACACAGGAGCCUUCGAUUUAAAUAAUAUCAAAUUCAAUAUAAUCCCAA